rnacentral:snoRNA from 1 species
UACCUCUCAGGGUCGCAUCUGGAGAGCUUCCAGGACUCUACCAGUCUCAACUAUGGAAGGGAGAGUCAAGCAGAGGCCUAUCCAUUCCAUUCCUAGCUUGGGCAGUGGCUAGCGAGUGGAAGGCAAUCUGCUACAAGU